rnacentral:rRNA from 1 species
AUGUGCAUUCCAAAGGAGAGAGGAGGGAUGGGCUUUCGUGAUAUACACAGUUUUAAUUUGGCACUCCUAGCAAAGCAAUGUUGGAGACUUAUUGAGUACCAUGAAUCGCUAUGUGCAAGGGUCCUACGUGCUAAAUAUUACCCUACUGGUGAACUGCUCAACUACAGUUUGAAACAAGGCUCUUCUUUUGUGUGGCAAAGUAUAUGGGCCGGAGUUCAAACAUUC